UCGGGAUAGCUCAGUUGGUAGAGCAGAGGACUGAAAAUCCUCGUGUCCCCAGUUCAAUAA
rnacentral:tRNA from 1 species